rnacentral:ribozyme from 1 species
GUGUACAUGCCUCGAAUAGCGUGAGAAGAAGAGAGAGAGAAAGAAGAGAAGAAAAAAAGUUUCUUUUAUUUUUUUUUUGGCUUUUUUGGUUUUUUUUUUUG